rnacentral:antisense_RNA from 1 species
AGAAGUGCCGAGUCCCGACCAGGGGCAGCCUCGCCGCCGCUCAGCUCAGGAAUCCCUGCCCCCCACCAGCACCACGGUGGGUGAUACUGCAAGUUCAAGGUGGUUUAAGGCGUGAAUGAAUGAAGGAGCAAGCAGUAAGUCCCGACAGCAAGGCCACCACAGCCCUCACCCCACAGGGACGCCUGAGCAAGGACCCAAGCAGGGGACAAGCAGGCUCACCCCGCCCUUGCGGGGCUGACCACGAGGCCCGGUCCGGUGGAACGCGCCAUGACAAUCUGAACCUGCCUCAGCCCCAGGACUCUGAGUGCAGCCAGAGGGGAGCCGGGCUGGAGAGUGGGGAGCACGGAGACUGUGGCCUGGACGGUGCCAGAGCAAACAGGAGAAAGGCUCCCCCACACAAAGGCUGCGGCACAGCCCAGCGGGUCCCGGGGCUGACUGGGUGGGAGCAGCUCCCAGCGAGAGGCCCCUGGGAUUUGGGUAAGUAGAGGCACAUGCAGACUCUGGCCACAGGGCACCUCGCGCAUGAGGGGAGUUCACCACACAAGCUGAGUGGAGGGCGGACGCAGGAGAACAGCGGUUUCUUUGGAAGCCAAGGGCAGUCAUGGAGCCCCACGCCACAGCGCUUCCCACGGGGCCACACCAUCCGGUCUGCGGAGGGAGCUGCAUUGCCGGGAAGGACCAUCUGAUUCUGGAUUCCAGCCUCACCCUGGGCCACCGCUGAGUGUCCCAAGUGGCCCCUUAGCCCCCAGGGCCAGGCGGCAUCCCAAUCCCCUUGGGAUGUUGUGCUCAGAAUGUGGCACACACACCCUGGCAGGGCCAUCCUCCUCCUCCUGCACCCGGCAUGGCCGUGGGUUCAGGGUCUCUAUCGUGGGCAGAGAUUCACAGAGUCAAGGUGAGGGUCCCAGAAGCAGCUGUGACCAGGCCCUGGCUGCCAGGGAGAGGGGGUCCUCAGCCGACAGGGCAGACACCCGGAGAUGGACCCUCGUCCAGGGGAGGGCCCUGCCGCCCACAAUUCCUUGGCAUUCCUGCACCAGCAGGAUGGGCUGAGGGAGGCGCCUUGCCAGUGUCAGUGCCCAGCAUCACUGUGCCCCGGUGGAGGGGGAGGCCUUUCCGAGCCUGGGCCUGGGUGUGAACGAGGGCAGGUUUCUCACCUCUCUGACCUCAGUUUCCUCAACUGGGAAGGGGGGCCGCAGCACCCCCUUAGGGGUGAUGAGGAAGUGGGAGCUCAGGGAGGGCCCUGGGCAGGGCUGCCUCCUCACCUCCCUUCAGCCUUUGGACACUGGAGCUCAGAGGACCAAGCAAAUGAAUGAAUGAAUGACUCAAUCAAUCAACUGAUGCAUCAAUCCAUGGACCCCUGAACAGCUGGACAGCUGGGCUGUGGGCAGGACGGGGGACUCUGGCCGAAGCCACGUUCAUAUGUGUUCAGCUUUGUGAGUGGGGUGAGGUUGAGGGCUUAUUCAGUGGGGGGGGAGGGGUGCACGGCAGGGCCAGUACCCUCGGAGGGUCAGGCCACAGAGGGCGGGGACACCUGCCAGGAUGCCCAACCCCAGAGGCAGUGCGAGCCGCUGGGGAGCCGUGGUUCCAGUCAGCGGUGGCUGUGAUGAGGGCUGCUCCCACUUCAUCCGCAGGAUUCCAGCCGCAGCCACCCCACACCCGAGCUGUCCCUAGUCGCCCACCACGACCGGACAAAGCCCCCGGCAGCCAAAGUGCUCCGCGGGGCGGGUUUCUUGGGUUUUUUGAAGCCAGUAUUUCCCAUGGUAUCUUACGUCCCAGAAGAGGCCUCCACUGUGCCUGGACCAGCGGCCCACUCGGUGAGUCGAGUGUGCACCUGGCACCCCUCUUUCUGGAAAUCCACGAACACUGGGCUCCCAGCAGAGGACUGAGGCUGAGCAGGCCACUUCGCUGGAGCUGACCCCACAGCUGUGUAGGUACAGGGUGGCUGUGAACACUUAGGGCUCUCUCGGGCUGUGCGCUUCUUGGCUCCUGACCAAGCCCUGUCACUGCUGCCCAGCCCCACUUGGGGCCCCCUUCACCCACCCCUGACCACCUCAUGCAGGUGAAGCCACUGUGGAAACAGCCUGGCAGUCCCUCGAAAAAUGAAGUCAUAAACCCCAGCAAUUGCACUCCUGGGCCUAUGACAGAGCUUGCACAUCCCCUCCAAAGCUCAUGUUUAGCUGUGAGCCCCAGUGCCGGAGGUGGGGCCUGGUGUAUUUUGGUCCUGGGGGCGGAUCCCUCAUGGCUGGGUGCCAUGCACCCACUCACCACGGUGAGUUCUCGCGAGAUCUGGUUGUUGAAAAGUGUAUGGUACCUCCCCCACAACUCUCUGUCUUUUGUUCCGGCUCUGGCCAUGUAACAAGCCUGCUCCUCCUUCGCCUUCUGCCGUGACUGUAAGCUUUCUGAGGGCUGACCAGAAGCCCAGCAGAUGCCAGCACCAUGCUUCCUAUACAGCCUGCAGAACCGUGAGCCAGCUAAACCUCUCCUUAUAAAUCACCCAGCCCCAGGUUUAUCUUUACAGCAAUGCAAGACCUGACUAAUACAGCACAAGCUCCCCAAAAUAAAAAGAAAUAUUCA